CUUGUACUCCCUCCGUCUGGAAAUACUUGUCAUUGAAAUGGAUGUAUCUAGAUGUAUUUUAGUUCUAGACACAUCCAUUUUGAUGACAAGUAAUUCCGGACAGAGGGAGUACUUC
rnacentral:pre_miRNA from 1 species